rnacentral:rRNA from 1 species
AUGCAGUCGAACGGUAACGCGGGGAGAAGCUUGCUUCUCCCCGGCGACGAGUGGCGAACGGGUGAGUAAUACAUCGGAACGUGUCCGCUCGUGGGGGACAACCAGCCGAAAGGUUGGCUAAUACCGCAUGAGUUCUACGGAAGAAAGAGGGGGACCCGCAAGGGCCUCUCGCGAGCGGAGCGGCCGAUGACUGAUUAGCCGGUUGGUGAGGUAACGGCUCACCAAAGCAACGAUCAGUAGCUGGUCUGAGAGGACGACCAGCCACACUGGGACUGAGACACGGCCCAGACUCCUACGGGAGGCAGCAGUGGGGAAUUUUGGACAAUGGGCGCAAGCCUGAUCCAGCUAUUCCGCGUGUGGGAUGAAGGCCCUCGGGUUGUAAACCACUUUUGUAGAGAACGAAAAGACACCUUCGAAUAAAGGGUGUUGCUGACGGUACUCUAAGAAUAAGCACCGGCUAACUACGUGCCAGCAGCCGCGGUAAUACGUAGGGUGCGAGCGUUAAUCGGAAUUACUGGGCGUAAAGGGUGCGCAGGCGGUUGAGUAAGACAGAUGUGAAAUCCCCGAGCUUAACUCGGGAAUGGCAUAUGUGACUGCUCGACUAGAGUGUGUCAGAGGGAGGUGGAAUUCCACGUGUAGCAGUGAAAUGCGUAGAUAUGUGGAAGAACACCGAUGGCGAAGGCAGCCUCCUGGGACAUAACUGACGCUCAGGCACGAAAGCGUGGGGAGCAAACAGGAUUAGAUACCCUGGUAGUCCACGCCCUAAACGAUGUUAACUAGUUGUUGGGAAGUAAUAUUCUCAGUAACGCAGCC